AUUGAACGCUGGCGGCAGGCUUAACACAUGCAAGUCGAGCGGGGGAAGGUAGCUUGCUACCGGACCUAGCGGCGGACGGGUGAGUAAUGCUUAGGAAUCUGCCUAUUAGUGGGGGACAACAUCCCGAAAGGGAUGCUAAUACCGCAUACGUCCUACGGGAGAAAGCAGGGGAUCUUCGGACCUUGCGCUAAUAGAUGAGCCUAAGUCGGAUUAGCUAGUUGGUGGGGUUAAGGCCUACCAAGGCGACGAUCUGUAGCGGGUCUGAGAGGAUGAUCCGUCACACUGGAACUGAGACACGGCCCAGACUCCUACGGGAGGCAGCAGUGGGGAAUAUUGGACAAUGGGGGGAACCCUGAUCUAGCCAUGCCGCGUGUGUGAAGAAGGCCUUAUGGUUGUAAAGCACUUUAAGCGAGGAGGAGGCUACUCUAGUUAAUACCUAGGGAUAGUGGACGUUACUCGCAGAAUAAGCACCGGCUAACUCUGUGCCAGCCGCCGCGGUAA
rnacentral:rRNA from 1 species